UAGUAUGGAUUUGUUGAGUAGAGGGAAU
rnacentral:piRNA from 1 species